rnacentral:rRNA from 1 species
AUGUCUACCUGUGUAGGUUCACAUCUGAGCCUGGGCUCAGAUGCGGAUUUUCGUCUAUUUAUGAACUUCUCUGUGCUGGAGCUACAUCUCACAGCAAUGGAGCAUGUUUCGGGAGGACUCGUGUCACGCCUUCUCGAGAUGCAUCAUGUUCAAACCGCUACACAAAGGCUUAAGGUCAACCUAUAUUAUUACUACGGGAAGAGAAAAGCAUGCGGAAAUUGUCCUUGCGACGAACCUAAGAACCGGAUAAUCCAAAGUAUCUCAAUGCCUCGUCUUAAAGAAGUGGAAAUAUGUGGCUUCAAAGGAGAGCAUUGCCAGCUUGAUUUGUUGACAUUGAUAUGCAGAUGCGCUCUAAUGCUUAGAACAAUGCCCGUGAAGUCGGCGAAAGGGCUUAACAGAGAGAACUUUCGAGGCGGCAUCAGAAAAUUUGCAAUAUUUUCUUAG